UGGGGAAUAUUGCACAAUGGGCGCAAGCCUGAUGCAGCCAUGCCGCGUGUGUGAAGAAGGCCUUCGGGUUGUAAAGCACUUUCAGCGAGGAGGAAGGUGGUGAGCUUAAUACGCUCAUCAAUUGACGUUACUCGCAGAAGAAGCACCGGCUAACUCCGUGCCAGCAGCCGCGGUAAUACGGAGGGUGCAAGCGUUAAUCGGAAUUACUGGGCGUAAAGCGCACGCAGGCGGUUUGUUAAGUCAGAUGUGAAAUCCCCGGGCUCAACCUGGGAACUGCAUUUGAAACUGGCAAGCUAGAGUCUCGUAGAGGGGGGUAGAAUUCCAGGUGUAGCGGUGAAAUGCGUAGAGAUCUGGAGGAAUACCGGUGGCGAAGGCGGCCCCCCUGGANGAAGACUGACGCUCAGGUGCGAAAAGGCGUGGGGGCAGCAAAACAGGAUUAGAUACCCUGGUAGUCCACGCUGUAAAACGAUGUCGAUUUU
rnacentral:rRNA from 1 species